CAACUCGACAUAAAACGAAGAAGAAGAAGACGUUUAAAGUUUGCGUCUAUAUCCUCCGAUCUGCAUCGCAAACUCCACACCAACGAAAUGACUUUUUGAAAGCCUUCAUCUUCCAAGCAUCUGAGAAACUCCCACAACAAGAAAGAGAGAGAGAAAUUAAACUCAGAUGAACAACUCACACACACCAGGUCAGACUGGAAAGAUCCGACUGCAUCUCUUGACUUCUCGCCUUUAUUCUUCAUAUUUUGGGUCUGUUUCAGAGUUAAACAGGUCUGAUGGAGGAGACAUGCCGUCAUGUUAAAACAGAGGAGAAAACUGGCUCACUGAAGAGAAAAGACGAAACAUGUUUGACCUGCACUCAGUUUGGACAGAGUCUGGGAUGCCAACAGAGUCUCAGGAAUCACAUGACGAUCCACACUGAAGAGAAACCGUUCACAUGUGAUCAAUGCAGCAAAACCUUUUUGAGGGCUUCAGAGUUAAAGAGCCAUCUUAGAGUUCACACAAAGGAGAAACCUUAUUCCUGUUCUCUGUGUGGAAAGAGAUUUACAUGUCAGUCAAAUUUAAAAGCACAUCAGAAGAUCCACACUGGUGUGAGAGAGUAUGUGUGCUCUGAGUGUGAGAAGACUUUUAUUACAGCUAGACAACUGAAAAGGCACCAGAGGAACCACACUGGAGAGAAACCGUUCUCAUGUGUUCAGUGCGGGACGAGUUUUAAACAUUCGUCAGACCUUAAUAAACACAUGUUGAUCCACACUGGAGACAAAACACACAAAUGUGAUCAAUGCAGCAAGACAUUUUUGAGGGCUUCAGAUCUGAAGGUCCAUCUUAGAGUUCACACAAAGGAGAAACCUUAUUCAUGUUCAUUGUGUGAAAAGAGAUUUACAUGUCAGUCAAGUUUAAAAGCACAUCAGAAGAUCCACACUGGUGUGAGAGAG
ensembl:processed_transcript